ensembl:rRNA 5S_rRNA 5S ribosomal RNA
GUUAGCAGCCAUAUCACCCUGCAACUCACAACUGGCAACCCACUGAAGCUAAGCAGGUGUGAGCCUGGUCAGUACCUGGAUGGGAGACCUCCUGGGAAAAACUAAGGCUGCUGCUGGAA